UCUAUAACAUGCAUGGUCCACACACCUGUACUUAUAUGAUCAACGCAUUCAGUGUGCAGGUGGAAAUCUAGGUCACACCUAAGAACACCAGAUGUUUGAUGUUAAUAAUAAAUGUUAAUAAUAAUCAGGACACUUGUAUAGCGCUGAUCUCCACACCUCAUGGGCAUGCCCUAAGCGCAUACAACAGUUCAAGUCAAUUUUAAUAUUUCCCAAAGAGAUAGGUCUUGAGAUGAGCUUUAAAAUGUCAAGUGAGGGAGAGCAUGUCAGAUCAUAGGGAAGAGAGUUCCAAAGUACAGCUGACGCAUACUGUAAAGUUCUGGCACCAAACGAUAUUAACUUGUAGGAAGGAACACAAAGGUGAAACUGAUCAGCAGAGCGUAGGCUUCGUGUAGGCUGGUAGACAGAUGUUUGUAGGCAUGGAGAGAUGUGAACAGCCUGGUAUGUCAGUGGCAGAAGUUUGAACUACAUCCUCUCUUCUACACAGAAGACAGUGUUUGA